rnacentral:rRNA from 1 species
CCAUCAUUAAGUUGGGCACUCUAAGUUGACUGCCGGUGACAAACCGGAGGAAGGUGGGGAUGACGUCAAAUCAUCAUGCCCCUUAUGAUUUGGGCUACACACGUGCUACAAUGGACAAUACAAAGGGUAGCGAAACCGCGAGGUCAAGCAAAUCCCAUAAAGUUGUUCUCAGUUCGGAUUGUAGUCUGCAACUCGACUACAUGAAGCUGGAAUCGCUAGUAAUCGUAGAUCAGCAUGCUACGGUGAAUACGUUCCCGGGUCUUGUACACACCGCCCGUCACACCACGAGAGUUUGUAACACCCGAAGCCGGUGGAGUAACCUUUUAGGAGCUAGCCGUCGAAGGUGGGACAAAUGAUUGGGGUGAAGUCGUAACAAGGUAGCCGUAUCGGAAGGUGCGGCUGGAUCACCUCCUUUCUAAGGA